CCUUUUCUAGAAAUUGCCCACAGCUUGCAAAAAGGCUGUGUUCCCUGGCCCCGGCUGCGGCUGUGUAGGAGUCUGAAUAUCAUUUUCCCCAGAAGUUGAGGGUGAGGCCGGCAGCCAGGCAGGAAGGCAGCAGGAGGAGGAGGAAGCGGAGGCGGCACCUUCUGAGAGGCGCAUGCUCAGUGAGUCGUGAAGAUGGCAGGGCUGGCGGAGCGGCCGCCGCAUCUGAUCUCUCCCCUUUUUUUAGGAUAUGUGAUGGCGUCCAGUUUGGAGCUGGGAUAAGGUU
rnacentral:lncRNA from 10 species